AGUCUUUCAUCUCUCUUUGACUCUCCUUGCGGGAAACCCUGCAAGUCAGCAACCCACUGCUCAGCCGCCCACUCCUCCGGCCUCCCUCCGCCACACCCCUUCUGGCCCUUCAUUCAUCUCUUUUUGACUCUCUCCUUGGCCCUUGCGCGACAAACCCAGCAACCCAGUGAACCCACUGCUCAGCCAGUCGGCCGCCCACUCCUCCGGGCUCCGUCGAUUUCACCUUCUGACACAAAGGCAUAACAGUAAGCCAUGGCUGCGAGGAGAAAAUUGGGGGAGAUUUCCAAUUUCAACUUUAAAAUUAUGUCGAGCUUUUCGAGGUAUUACAGCUCAAACAGGGUGGACUUAAAGAACCUGAGGCCUAUGAUUCUGAAAAGAAUCCAAGACCGAGCUAAGGACUAUCCGGUGCAGAGCAUGAUACCAGUGGCAGAGGAGGUCCUCAAUUCCCGGAGGCUUCUUAAUCAGGGUGUCUCCACCCUCCUUAAAGUGAUCCCAGUUGUGGCCUGCAAGUUCUGUCCCGAAGCAUACAUUGGUGAUAAAGGUCACUUAAUCCAGACUUGUAGUGGUUUCAAACGUCGUGGCAAAAAUCGGGUUCAUGAGUGGAUAACUGGUAGUGCGAAAGAUGUACUUGUUCCAGUCGAGGCAUUUCAUUUGAAGCACAUGUUCCAGGAUGUAAUCAAACAUAACCAAAGGUUUGAUUAUGACCGUGUUCCUGCAGUUGUUGAGCUGUGCUGGCAAGCAGGGGCAAAUGAUGAAAAUUUGUACUCUGGUACUUGGAACCCAGAAAGUGAUUGUGUUGCUGUUGAAGGAGCUGAGUCCUUGUCACGUAAUGAAAUCUCUCUGGUUGCCAAUGGAACUUUGAGGGCCUGGGAAAGACUUAGAAAUGGUGUCAAGAAAAUACUGAUGGUUUAUCCAGCAAAAGUGUGUAAAGACUGUUCAGAAGUCCAUAUUGGGCCAUCUGGGCAUAAGGCGAGGCUUUGUGGACUUUUUAAGUAUGAGCGUUGGCAAGGAACCCACUUUUGGAGAAAAGCAUCUGUAGAUGAUCUUGUUCCUCCAAACAUUGUAUGGCGGAAGCGGCGUCAAGAUCCUCAUGUGCUCUUGGAUGAAGGAAAAGGCUAUUAUGGGCAUGCUCCAGCAGUGGUAGAACUAUGCUCUAAGGCAGGUGCCAUAGUGCCUUUAAAGUAUCAUUGUAUGAUGAAAAUGGAGGGUAUAUCUGCUGUUGCAAAUCAAGGUUUACCCCUUCCGCCGUUUAACCUUACAGAACCGUAGACUCUGCUCCAUCCGAAAUAUCAUGUUUAAAUGCAGUUGAUACACUGGGAAGUAGAUGACAAGCGGAAGCUCCCCUGUGAAGAAUACAUAAAUGAAAUGGGUGGUGGGAAGUUGAUGCCUUGAAGGGGACAUGCAGAUAUUGAUUAUUCACACUGAUUGAAGCCAUCAGAAUAAUGGAGAUGAAGUCUGAAAUAUGAUCAACAUCUAUUAAUCUAUAUGAUUUUUAUGACCUUAACGAUUGGUCCAGUCGCCAUCUUGGUUACCACUUAUUGAAGAUUCUAUUAACAGUCGAACAAUGAAUCAUGAAGAUAGCUCAGUGAAAAUGCCCGAUAUUGCACCACUAUCUUGGAGCAUGUCAGAGCUGAGAAAUUUUUAUGGUUCUGUUUCUUCUGGCGAUGGUUUUUGUUGGAAAGUUUCUCCAGAAAUCAAUGAACCGAGAGUGAAAGCAGUGCAGGCCGCAUGGCUAGACAUUGGAAAAGUAAAACUUGACGAUAAUCUGAAUCUUACUGGACUGGUUUACAUGAGGUUCCAUGCAUUUAAUGGUGAGAUCAAUUUUCGUACCUUCAGUGACAAUUGGAUAGUCUUCCAUGUCUAGUCCAUCUUCCAACUCCCAUUCGGACACUGCAAGGGUUUGUGAAGACGCCGGGAUGCCCAAGAGUUGCUCCACCUUCCUUUUGAUUUCUAGAACAGCUUCUUUCAGACCCACUUCUAUGGUGAAUUCAUGUCCCCAGGUAUCAAUGAUUAUCACUCUCAUAGUGUCACACUGUCACUGAUUGUUUUAUUUGCUCUAAAAGGCUAUGAAAUCAAUUAAGAAUAAGAACACUGGAGGUGAGGUUGAUUUUUUUCCUUCUGUUAUUUAUUUCCCCCUUUCAGUCAAACAUGAAAUUGGAUUGAAACAGAUUUCUACUGUCUUUAUGUUCAGAAUUGAGGGAUCAAAUUUAGAUCUCAGAGUCAUGUAAAAUAUAUGAGUACUCUCAUCAUACCGUUUGUAUGUGGAAAAUCCGGAAUGCAUUCUCAACUCU